rnacentral:lncRNA from 1 species
CUCUGAGGUGGGGGUAAGUGGAAGGAGUGCUCGGCUUUCUUUCCGAGCCCCGCGCCCUCAGCAGGGUCCUUCCCUGCCUCGCUGAGCCCUCACUGCACCAGCCCGGCCCUCGGCUGCGGGGCCUGCGAGGCUCGAAGCUCGCCUCGUUCAUGGCCGAGUCCGGAGGUGCGUUCUCAAAACCAGGGCUAUGCAAGCGGGAGAGUUUCAUGUGCUGGUUUUUCUUAUUUUAAAUAUUUAAAGAGUUCUAAGUUCACAACUGAUAAUAAUUUAGCUCCAAACGCACAUAUAGAUAACCAUAAUUUUUGUGUGAUUAACGAGUCUUUAAGAGUAAAAGAUAAAUUCUGAGCCUAAAAGUCUCAAAAAAAAAAAUGGAAAUAAAAUGGAGUUGGAGAAUAUAAUGCCAAGUAAAGUAAGCCAAUCCCCCCAAAUCAAAUGCUGAAUGUCUUCUCUGAUAUAAGGAUGCUGAUUCAUAAUGGGGAUGGUGGGGAGCAUAGGAGGAAUAGACAAACUUUAGAUAGGGCAAAGGGGAGGAAGGGGAAGCGAGUAUGGGGGUAGGAAAGACAGUGGAAUGAGGUGGACAUCAUUACCCUAAGCGCAUGUAUGAAAACACAAAUGGUAUGACUCUACUUUUGAGAAAUUGUGCUCUUUUUGUGUAAUAUGAAUUGAAUUGCAC